AUGACAUUGUACACAAUCCCAGCGGUGACAACCGGAGAAAGAAUAACAUUGAUCAAGCAUACAAUCUCUUUAGGGCAUCUCCAGCCGCGCCGCCAACAGGCCCUCCCCAGACGAUUUUUUCGCGCCGGCGCCCAAAACGCCCAGUCGCGCCCCCAAGAGCCUGUUUUUCGGCGGCUUGAGCCGAAAUUGGUGCCGGCGUACUCAGGCCGAACCGGGGGCGCCGGGGCGAGUGGUUUUGGCACGAACGGGCUGCGGGCCCGCCGAGUCAGCGACACCCGCCUCGUCGUCCUCACAAACGCCUCGGUUUCCCGCGGGGAAUCAAUGGCAAGGAUGCCACCGGUCAGCCUUCUAUUGAUGCCUCACGGGCGGCAUGGCGACGCCCCCCUUCCGCCAUGCGUACACACGGCGCCCGGCUAUAAAAAGCAGCCUCUCCCUCGCCUCUGGCCACACCGCCCACAGCUCCGCCGCCGAGCUCUCUGCCUCUCUCCCCGCGCACAGCCGCCCACUCUCUUCCCCCUCUCUCCCCGUGCCCUCCUCCCCGAGACGAUGGCCGAGCGGUUCCCCGGCGAAUGGGCGGCGGCGAACGGCUUCGGCCGCCGCUCCCUUCACGAGUGGGAGGCUUAUCUUCUUUUCGAGGCCAACAUCCCGGCGCCUCCCAACAUGCGCGUCGGGCCGUCGGGUUGGAGGCUUAGCGCCGGCGGUGUCCCCAUUUGCCCGGUGCCCGACGUCGACGCGCGCCCCGACCUCUUCGCCGCCGAGGUCGACCACGUUUGUGCGUCAAUGACGGACGAGCAGCGGGCCCUCCCGCAGUACGCCGCCGGCAACCAUGGGGCAUGGGCGGCGUACUUUCAGCACUGGCAGGCGCAACGGAUCGCCUCCACCAACGGGGCGCCGACGGUCAGGGGCAGACAGAACAACGAGGGGCGCCGCCUGUGGUGGGGUGCCCCCGGCCGCUCGCUUCACGCCGUCCUCCAGCACCUCGAGGGCGGCAACGACCCAUCCAUGCCUACCCUCCCGCCCCGGCCCGGAACGACGACUAGUGGAUGCCGAGGAGGGUGGCGUCCACUUCUUCCUCCUCCUCCCGUUCCUCCUCGUCGGGGUCGCCGUCGCUGCUCAACGUCAAGGCCGAGCCCGGCGAGACACCGCUCGGCCGGUGAACACACAACGCCGGCAUCGUCAUCAACGAUGGCGGGCGCGCCUCCUCCUCGGCCCCUUCCCGCUUCGUCAAGCCGAAGACGGAGCCCAGGCUCACCGCGGUGA
rnacentral:rRNA from 1 species